GCCUUCGGGGUGUAAUUGUCAGCACAUUCGCCUCGGAUCGAGAGAUCCGAGGUUCGAGUCCCGGCGAUGGUA
rnacentral:tRNA from 1 species